CCUACGGGAGACAGCAGUAGGGAAUAUUGCUCAAUGGGGGAAACCCUGAAGCAGCAACGCCGCGUGGAGGAUGAAGGUUUUAGGAUUGUAAACUCCUUUUGUUAGAGAAGAUUAUGACGGUAUCUAAAGAAUAAGCACCGGCGAACUCCGUGCCAGAAGCCGCGGGAAUACGGAGGGUGCAAGCGUUACUCGGAAUAUAUGGGCGGAAAGGGUGCGUAGGCGGGGUAAUAAGUCACGUGGGAAAUCCUGUGGCGUAACUACAGAACUGCAUUUGAAACUGUUACUCUGGAGUGUGGGAGAGGUAAGUGGAAUUCUAGGUGUAGGGGUAAAAUCCGUAGAGAUCAAGAGGAAUACUCAUUGCGAAGGCGACCUGCUGGAACAUUACUGACGCUGAUGCACGAAAGCGUGGGGAGCAAACAGGAUUAGAUACCCUAGUAGUC
rnacentral:rRNA from 1 species